UCAUGUAUAAUUUUUUUUAUAAAAAAAACUAGGUUGGUUUGGAUCCUGAACAACACUAACAAAGAAGCUAGUGAAGGUAUUCCCUGGCAUUUUCUGCGAAAAUGCGUUUUCUAAUUUCUAAAGAUUCUUUGAUUCUCAACGAACUUUCGAAAAAUUUAGUAAUAAUGAAACAAAAGGGUUCGGUUUUGUUAGGUACAUGUGAAAUCGAAAUUGAGAAGCGCUUUCCAACACCAUGAGUGGACUCAGUACCUGCCUUUUUUGCUAUUCCUUUCCUUUUCAACGAUCAUGCUUCUAAACACACACAUGACAUGAGAGAUGUUACAUUGAUUGAUUUUCAAUUUUUUUUUUUGUAGAAAAUGAAGUCAUUGUGUGUAUUUCUGUUUCUAAUUCGGCUCUCUUCUUUUCAUAAAAAAUUAAGUUAUCUCUGUUUUUUUUAAUCAUAAGAUUGCUCAUGAACCUUUUAGAUUACUCUAUCAAAAUAUCUGUUAAGUUAAG
rnacentral:lncRNA from 1 species